rnacentral:rRNA from 1 species
CGACCGGCGCACGGGUGAGUAACACGUAUCCAACCUGCCGUCUACUCUUGGACAGCCUUCUGAAAAGGAAGAUUAAUACAAGACGGCAUCAUGAGUCCGCAUGUUCACAUGAUUAAAGGUAUUCCGGUAGACGAUGGGGAUGCGUUCCAUUAGAUAGUAGGCGGGGUAACGGCCCACCUAGUCUUCGAUGGAUAGGGGUUCUGAGAGGAAGGUCCCCCACAUUGGAACUGAGACACGGUCCAAACUCCUACGGGAGGCAGCAG